AUUUGGGAUUUUGGUUUUCGUAUUUGUUUAAUGAAUGUCACAUGGAGCUAUUUACUAUUUGAGGGCGGUAGAAUAGCGGAUUUUGAUGGUGCAAUAUAUGGCUUAUAUGCAUGGUUAAAACGGUUUCUUGAUGAACUAAUAUGAGAUUCUUGGGGAAGAGAUUACGAAAACAAGAAUGCUAUUUCAUCAGAAAAAAUAAAUAUCUAAUUUGGAAUGCUUAAUGCUUUGAAGCCCUUGCGUUUAUAUUGUGCUAAAUUACUGACUUCAACCUGCUUGAAAUUAAUCCUCUUAUUUGUUUCCUAUGCUGACAUGUCCAACUAUACCUUUGUUACCCCCAUUGGUGAAAUUUCUUCCUGUGCAGUAAGACUCUAGACCUGCUUUGACACUAGCUGAGCUAGAGCUGUUUAUUUAUUUAUUUAUUAUUUUUAUUUUUAAAUUUAUUAUUUAUUUAAGUUGGCUGCUAAAUGAGGCAGUUAUUUGAUGAACUGGUGAGCUCCAACCCGUGACUUUUGAAAUUUUUAUUUUUAUGAGUAAGCCUAAAAGUUUCUUUAACACCUUUUCAUUUGGCAAGUCUUACCAUUGGGCCAUGCCACCCUUUUUCCAUUUCAUACCCCUAAUUACUAAAAUAUUCUGCUGCCAAGCUUUUUUGUGGUUCUGCUGCCUAACUUUUUUGUGGUUCCUCGAGGUUAACUGUUAUGACCAUUAUACAUUAUGUUUUUUUUCAUAAGCCUGCUACUCCUUUAUUUAUCUUUUUCAAGUUUUUGUAAAUGGAAGAAAGCUCAUGGUUGUCAAACUGUAUUUUGACAGUGAAUCAUGCGCUUGGGUUUUAAUUGGGACUGACAUAAAUAUUCUGCUACUUGCUAAGUUCGCGUAGCCUUUAAUGGGACCUGCCCGGAUAGUCAGAAACAGCAUCCUCAUUAAGGGUGAAUUGAAUCAUGAAAUUGUGAACUAGCAAGAUGAGUGGAGAGAAUUCAAAAAAAGCUGAGAAAAGAAUUAGGAAGGAGCGUGAAGCUAUAAUUGCUACGACAAUGGAUGAUCUUCAAGAUGUAAUAGGAAGUAUAGUUGCAUGGCCUAGUCAAUUCAUUUUUUUGGACUAAAUAUUAGAAUAAUUGAUUUACGAUUUGUAGUUAUGCUUUUUGGAUGUUUAAAGUCGUAUUUUAGAAAUUAGUAAAUCUUAUGAUUUGGAUACUUUUCUUGGUUUGUAUGUUUGAGGCUGUUAUUAACUUGAUAUGAUAAAAGUUAAAGAUGGAAGUUAGUA